rnacentral:rRNA from 1 species
CGUCUAUAUACGUAUAGCAUAUCAAUAAGCGGAGGAAAAGAAACUAACUAGGAUUCCCUCAGUAACGGCGAGUGAAGCGGGAAGAGCUCAAAUUUGAAAUCUUCAAGGUUCUACCUUGACGAAUUGUAGUUUAAAGAAGUGUUUUCUGUUGGAGUUUUGGUAAAAGUUCUUUGGAAUAGGACAUCAUAGAGGGUGAGAAUCCCGUAUUUGACCAUUACUUUCCAGCGUUGUGAUACACUUUCAAAGAGUCGGAUUGUUUGGGAAUGCAGUCCAAAAUGGGUGGUAAAUUUCAUCUAAAGCUAAAUAUUGGCGAGAGACCGAUAGCGAACAAGUACCGUGAGGGAAAGAUGAAAAGAACUUUGAAAAGAGAGUUAAACAGUACGUGAAAUUGUCAAAAGGGAAGCGUUUGACACCAGUGUUGUUUUCUCGAAAAUCAAUUAAAAAUGGUUGGAUUUUGUAUUGUUAAGACCUUAUCAGCUUACUGUACUCUUUUCUUGCCUUUUUUAAUGCACUUUUCGUUUAACAAGUCAACAUCAAUUUCUUUUGUUGUAAAAGAGUCAUUGGAAGGUGGCUUUCAUUUCGGUGAAAGUGUUUAUAGCCUUGUGCCUCUGCAAUCGGAGAGAUUGAGGUCUGCAGCGUAGAUCCUUCGGGGUUAGAUACGUUUGUGCUAAGUUAUAGCUUUUCAUAGACAACUUGUUGACUAUGAUCAGUCAUGUAGCUUACUCGCUUAUGCUAUUUUACCUACGCUUAGGAUGUUGACGAGACUGUCGAUCUCAUCUAUACAUGGCUCUGUGCAUAUCAAUAAGCGGAGGAAAAGGAUGUUGAUACCUACGCUUAGGAUGUUGACACACGCGCGUGCUCG